GUUGUGAGCAAGUUGUUAGCCAUGAAAAAAUUAGAAUUAGGUUGUCAAGUAGCUUAUUUUAACGACUGUCGUUUUGUUGCUAAUUUACUUCUCUUCGCGUUGUUUUAGUUAUUUGGCCUUCCCUGUAUUCUAAGGGACGCAAAUAUAAUUUGAAGUUGAUGUUGACAGACGUUUAACCUUAACAUAAUUACGCUGUAUAACUUUAUAUUCUACUUUGAGAAUUUUAUAAUCAAAUGUGUAGCAUAUAUUGGACCAUAUCCUAUACUCUUCGUUGUUUUAAUAAGUUUGAUCUUCGCUAUCCUAUUAUAAGGGAUAUAGUAGGUUGGGGGAAGACGGGACACCUUUAGCACAUAAUAUCCAAAAAUCCUGAUCGUGUUUUGUCACUUUAGUAUACUAUGAUUAGACUGUAGCAUAUUAUCAAACUUUGCCCAUUAUGUCGAAAAUGAUUGUCGGUUAUUGGGGGUGCCGUGGACUUGGUGAACCGAUUCGUCUCAUGCUUGAAUACGUGGGUGAAGUUUAUGAAGAUAAGAGGUACGGCCAUUGUAAGGCAGGGGAUGGAUGGGACUUGAGCGCUUGGUUUGACGUUAAGUUUACAUUGGGAUUUGAAUAUCCCAACGUACCGUAUCUUAUUGAUGGAGAUGUGAAAGUGUCAGAAAGUUGGGCCGUGUUGAAAUACAUAGCGAUGAAGCAUAAGCACCUUGCGCCAGCCAACGAUGAGCAGCAGAUAAAAUGCAACAUCGCUGAGGGCGUGGUGUCAGAUUUCAGGAAGACGUACAGAGAUCUCUGCUACAAUGCUGAUUUCGAAAAGUUAAAGGGGGCAUAUACUGAAGGCCUUCCUGCAAAGUUGGAUUUAUUUGAAAAAAAUAUCGUUCUAUCUGGUUGGUUGGCUGGCCCUAAAAUCACCUAUGUUGAUUUCGCAUUCUGUGAAACCUUGGACGAGAUGCGCCUCACCUUCCCCGGUUGUUUCGACAAACACCCAAACCUGCUGGACUACCUCGAAAGAUUUAAUGCUCUGGAGAAAAUUGCAAGUUACAAAUGCUCUGACCGAUUUCACCAGUUCCCAGUCAACGGUAAAAUGGCGGCUUGGAUUGGAGAAGCAGAAUAAAGACACCUUUACGUCGUCUAUACUUGUAACAUGUAGGGAUGGAUAAUAAGACGGGAAACCUUUGGCACAUACUAUCUGAUUAUCCUGAUCUUGUUUUAGACUAUUAACAACGGUCUAUGGAAGUCGUAAGGAUACGGUUUUAUAUUUCUUUGAAGGUCUUUUAACGAGAAAAUUAAUUGAAAAAGUGUCCCAUCUUUUUUCACCCUACUACAUACAUACGUUGCUUUGUUAACCGUAAACGUUAUAAAUGUAGCUGACCCUGCUUAAUGUUAUGGACAAACUCCUGCCUAAAUUAAAAUUUUCUUUCGGUGUUUUCAUUGAUAAAUCAUAAAAAUGACGUUCGCAUACGGCAUACCGAACUAUUUAAAAAAGAUUAAGGUAGUAAAGAUAGAAUUGCUCUAUUAGCAACUACCAACUUGCAGCGUUCUUAACCAAGUUGCCUGAUUGGAAAGUUUGAUUUUUGCGUGUAGGAUAUGCCGCGAAUGUUAAAAACGUAUUUUAGUUACUUCCAGUUUAAUAUUAAAUCAUAAUGUAUCCGUAAA